UACGUAGGCAGCGAGCGUUGUUCGGAAUUACUGGGCGUAAAGAGUGUGUAGGCGGUGCUCUAAGUUCGGUGUGAAAUCUCCUGGCUCAACUGGGAGGGUGCGCCGGAAACUGGAGUGCUUGAGCGUGGGAGAGGAAAGCGGAAUUCCUGGUGUAGCGGUGAAAUGCGUAGAUAUCAGGAGGAACACCGAUGGCGAAGGCAGGUCUCUGGGCAUUAACUGACGCUGAGGAGCGAAAGCAUGGGGAGCGAACAGG
rnacentral:rRNA from 1 species